ensembl:lncRNA
CCUGGCUUCCCUAGCAGUGCACUGUCGCUGGGACCCACAAAGGCGGUGCAGGACAGCAGCGGGGUGGGGUGGUGCAGAGGGCUGCAGCCUCCUUGCUGAGGCUGCGGUCCUCCCCAGGGAGGCCACUCUGGAGGGAAGUUGGGCUUUGUUGCCACUAUUGUCCGUGUGUCCCGCCGCCGCUGCCCGGGUCUGCCAGGCGCUCAGGACACAGCUGGUGGGUGACUGGCAGUGGCUCUGUUCCCAGAGAAUCAGCGCCUUCUCCCCACAAUGUCUACACUUCCCCAGCUGGCGGUCACUCACCCUGGUUUGCUGGCCUGGGCGGCCUGCAGGUGCCAGCGCCUGCCUUCUCCCACUGCGACCAGAAGAGGGCGCUCGGACUCCACUCAAGGGAGCAUCCUCUGGCCCAGCGAUGCUGCACUUGGGAGCUGUUUGUGGACAAGGAGUGAGGCAUCCAGAGGCCGUGAGCCACUGCCACCCAGCACUCCGUGUCUCCCCAACUGCCUCCUGGAGCUUCUCCAGUCCGGCUGCAUGGGUCGGUGGAGCUCUGGGCAGCAGAGCUGCAGACCCGUAGCAGGGUGGGUUGGGUGUGCACUCCGAGGUGGCGCUGGUGGUGAUGGGGCUCUGCAGAUGCUGGGAGGGGCGCCAGCCGCACAGUCCCAGGGGAAGGCCCUACAUGGAGCUGGGGACCCCGGGGGGCGGCCGCUGGGAGUCCCAGGCCUGGGAAAGAUGACUGCCUCUCCACUCAUCACCGAACCCUAAGAACAACUAGCGAGGUAAGAGGCCAGGUCCAAAGAUGCCGUGGUCUUCUCAGGUCAGCGCUGACACUUGGCAGCACCCCGGAGCAGAUUCCUGCAGCCUCCUCCACUCGCCCCACUUCUCUGACAAGGUGCACAGCCUGCCUGUGCGGUGGCCUGGUGCUGAGCAAGGAACGCAGGUGCAGUCCUACUGGAUGGGUUUGCUAGGAUUCCGAUGAUGGGCCGGCUGGGUGGCAGACAGGGACCUGGAGCGUGAGGCUCCUUUCAGAGGCCCCAGGCCUGCAGUGGCAGGGCUCUUAGAGGGAAUCCUUGAGCUCUGGGCUGUGGGGAAGGACCUGCCCUGGGGCGGGGGUGGCAUCCUUGGGCCCUGACCUUGGAUACACAGGGGGACUCUGUGUACUGUCCCUUCUCAUUUAUCUUCAUCUUCAGCGUGUGUGGCCCCUCACUGAAGGCAGCUAUCCCCUCCCCUGCCCCCAGAACACAGCUGCUCCCAUCUCAAAAACCACAGAUACGCAAUGAAAGGUGAUCCUCUGUUUCCAUGCCUCAUGGAGCAGGCCCAGAGCCUCCCGUGUAGCAAAGUAUGAAUUCCUACUAUUUCCUUCUUCACUGGAGAAAGUCAAGCUCAGCCCAAAGAAGGAAAGGAGAUUGUCUCCAAACCCGGAUGUACUAUUUUCGUCCAGUGGGGCUCUUCCCAUGUAGCUGGGGGACCACUGUGGCACAUUUUACCCUGCCUUCCACCCCAGCCCCUUCCCGGGCUGCAGAGAGCUGGUUUCCAGCAUAGCCACACCCAACUAGCACUCUGCUGGCCCAGUACUCCGCCAGGUCCUAGGCGCUGCUGGUGGGCCUGCCUCGAUUUGUCACCCUCCCUAUGGCUCUGAGGAAGGAGCCAAACUGAGUGGGGGGGAUCCCUUGGAUCCUAUCAGAAAAUGUGCUUGACGGAGGACACACCGCUGUGUUCAUCCCCAUAGCACCACUCCGUUUCCUCACAACUUGUUUCCCAUCCUAGACCACAGGGAGCAUUUUGUGGAAAGACAGUGAUAAAUAUCUCGGGCUCUGUGGGCCACGUGGUCUCUGAGGCAGCUCCUGCGGCCCCAGGCUCCCCAGGCAGCAGGAAUUAGCAAGAAUUAGCAGGGGGUGUCUGAGAGACCUUUACCGAUGGACACAGAAAUCUGAACUUCGUAUAGUUUUUACCUCACAUGAACUAUUAUUCUUUGGGGUUUUUUGGUUUUGACCAUUAAAGUAAAAAAGAUGUAAAAUCCAGUCUCAGCUUUUGGGCUAUACAAAACUAGGUCAAGGGCUGGAUUAUUCUUGGGGGCCUUUAUUUGCCAAGCCCUGUCCGAGGUCGUACAGCCAGCAGGGUGCCUGGGGGAAGCCAGGGCUCAGCCCGCGUUUGGCCAUUUGUUUCUAAGAAGCCAUAAGAAAGUCCACGUCCCAGGGCCUCUCAACUCCUUUGAGCAAAGUGUCCUUUCAGAAGGAAGGACGGGUCAAUGGAGAGCUCGGGACUCUGGGAGAGCCAGCCACGCACCAGCUCUGCAGCCGGCUCACCGCAGGGGCUUUGCCACUUUCUUGCCAAAUCUUGCAACCAACUGGCAUUCUUUGCAGGUCCGGCCAAUGUUUGCCACGUGGGUGCGAGGCUGCCAGUGAAGUGCCAUCCCCCAGGACAGGAUGGCACUGCCUUGGUGCCCAGCACUGCGGCCUCAUCCUGCCAGGGGCUGUCCCACAGCCCGGGUGCCCGCGGCCACCAAGGCCCACGGGGCUGGCACCCCACAAGACUUGGUCUCUCACAUUUCUGCACGACAUUGCAGAAGAAAAUGAGAACCUCAGGUGCCCGCCCGGGUGAGACCAGAGAGCUCCACCACAGAACAGACACAGCCACAAGUCUGUAACUUCUUUAAUUAUUCAAACAAUAGAGCACAAAGGUAAGAGUUUCAAGUACAUUGUGAUACACGCUUUUGACAGGAAUAGAUAGGCAUUUAGUCACAAGGGAGGCUGGCAGCAAGGCAGCGCGGACACUUCGCACAAACUCUUCACACCGUCAACCCUGCAGAGGGAGCGGACGCCUCACCAGGUGGCUCCGCGCUGCACCACCCUGGUACCCUGUGCUGAGGGCUCCCCUUUGUUGGCCAUGANUGGCUGGGGCCGUACUGGAGGUGGCCAGUGCGGGGUGGGGGGGCACCUAGGGGCCUGGCCAGUGCUCAGGUUCUCUCUUUGGCUAGUCAGGCUGAGGGCUGAUUCAUCUGUGAAUCAACGUGGCCAGAGCCAUUGGUGUGCCAGGGCUUCCCGUUUACUUUUGCUGGCUUACACUCAAGAUGGAACAGAACAGAAACCACCAAAUUCCACCAGGGAUUGUAAACCUUGCACCUGCUGACUACCUGGAAGACCAAAGAAAAUUCUUUUACAGAGAAAAACCAAGGAGUACUCCUGCCCAGAGGGCCUGGAAGCAUGCAGAGGGCAAGCUCCAGGCUACGCGGCUGUCCCUGGCACCAGCCGUGCAGGCCCCCGGCCUCCUGGAAGAGGUACACCCUGCCAGGCCCUCAGCACGGCAGCUCCUCAGGGACCAGUGCUUCUGGCUGCAGAUGCCACCGCAGGCCUAGCCUGAGGGGCAGCACCUCCAGACCCUGCCUGGGCAGUCCUGGGACCUGCCCGAAGCUGUCAGGCUCAGGUCUACCCCUCAAACCCAAACCAGCCUCCAGACAAGCUGAAGUUGCUAAGAGGCCCUAUGCUCGCACAGCCUGUCCUUCCAAAACCCAGCCAGCUUAGACACUUGGCCUGAAGCACAAGUCGGGACAGCAGCCUUUGAUAAGCCAAAGCACUGAGAGUGACAGCCGACGGCUGAGCCCCUCUCGGCUGAGUCUAGAACACACCCUCAAGCAUGGAGGACCUCUUCCCCCAGACCCAGCUGACAUAGGGCGUCAGCCACAGGGUGCCCACUAAAGGAGGACCAUGCCCUAGGGACAGAAGUCUACACCUAACAACCACUCCAGACAGACAGCUUGGACUUGACAACACCAACAUGACCCGAGGACCCCAGCAGCCCUGAGACUAGCCACUGUGACUGGGGAAGUGGGGAGGUUGGGGCCACCCCGAGAGCAGGUGGAAAAUGUGCACUCCUCGGGGAGUUUGCCACGAGGGUCCUGGGGGGGCGGUGUCAGAGAUCAACACUUAGCCCUCUCCUUGGGGACCCAUCUGGAAAGGGUACCCCAAGACUUCACAAAGCAGCGAGGGCCCUCCUCCCUUCGCCGCCAGAGGACCAGAUACUCCAAUGUGGGACAACCAAGUGGAGGGGACGGGGUCUGUCGACGGCUACACGAAGCAUGGGGAGAGAGUCGUGGGUGGCUGCCCGGAGGCCUCUCCUCCUCCGGGCCUGCACCAGGCUGCGCUGGGUGAGGGCUGGGGGGUGGGAGCGGGGCGGUGCCCGCACACGGCACCCCCAGUCUUUGGAGUGCACAAAGUCUCUCACACAACAAAUACAAACAGAGCUGAGGUUUCUCCAGUGAUGAAAAUAAACAAGUUGGUUUGGUUACCUACUUUGGCUUC